UUCAUUUCACGAAGACAGGCUAGAAAAGGCUGGAGACCCAUUGAAGAACAGCAGAUUAAAAGGAAAACAGCCAUUCUCUGCAGACGUAGUGACCAUGGCAUGGAUUUAGAUUUACCUACAGCAUCUGAAUCAAGCCAUGGUCCAUACAUGAACUCAAUAUCUGGUGCAGUUCUAACUCUAAUUUAAAUAUGCCACUCCGCUAUCAGAGGAGCUCAAAUUAUUUUUGUAAAUUCUCAUCUGUGAAUUUUCCCAACAGUUUUGAGAAGCGUGGUGUUCACAGACUGCAGAUGGGAAGACUGAGGUACAGAGAUGUGUUCCCAGUUACCUGUCAGCUGAACUGAACUGAAUCUAGACCUGGCUGUAUCGCCCCUGAGUAAUUUGCUACAAAUCCAGGAAAAUUACAACAGGGCACCUGAUGGUUGGGCCCCACUGCAGUUUGCUGUCAAAGUCAAUCUGACAUCUCUGUGUCAGACAAGAAGUUAUCUGACCUCAUCACGUGAGUUUAACCGAGAAAACAGCAAACAACACUUGCACAAACAUUGUAAAACAGGAGAACAGAUGCCAAAACGUGAAUGUCCUAUGGGGUAAGGGUUAACAGUCAAACACUUCUAACAAAGUCCCAGAUGUGUGAACACUGCUGUCAGUUUUCUACCUCUCACCAGCAAUUUUUACUUCAGAUGUGCUUCACUAGGGAAUUAAGCCUUAAAAUAUCCUUACAAGAUAAAAAGAGGUUAUUAUUCUCUUCUAUAUUAAGGAAAAUUGGAGGUUAAAUGACUCCUGCAAACCUUACACCUGUGUUGGGACCAGAAAUAAAACCCCAGCUAUCUUUCCUCCACUCCUUGGCUUUAGCCCAAGAUGACAUUUUCCCACCUCCUAACACCAGCCCUGCAGAAAUAUACCAGAGAAGAAAAUCUUUCCCUGCAACCAAGAGCCCCAGGGGCUGGAAACAUGGCUCUGAGCUGUGCCAACCUGCCACAUGCACUAACUGCUGAAAAGAGUGACAGCCAUUUGAGAAGCCCACUUUCGAAUAUGGCCCAGCACCCACCACCCCGUCUCCAGCUGCCUCCUUUUUGCCCCUGAACCAGCAGCACCAUCCUCCUUGACCCUGAACUCCCCUUCUUCUCCACAUCUGUUGCUUGCAAAUCUUCCUGUCACCACCUCCUUUUUUAAACACUAAGUCCUUGACUGCAUCUCCAUUCCUUCAGGCCAUGACUGCUUCUUGCCAUAGAGGAUGGUGAAGUCUCCUAUUCACGGAUCCUCCCCAGCUGCCCAUGGCACCUACCUCUCCAGUGCAAUUCCCCAGCUUCUUGCCCCAUGCAGAAGGUGGAGAUGAGGGCUAGCCCCAUCCUGGUCAGAGCAGGCACGUGGCUUCAGCUGCAUCAGGAACCGGAGAUCCCACAAGCUGUAGGAUAGAGUCUCGUGCAGUGCUGGUGGGAUCCAGGUCUCCCAGCCCCCUGAUUUCUCUGAUCCAAGACAAGCUUGUCUACAAUAUCUUAUCUACACCCCAUUGUUUCCAGGACUGAGUUCAAAAGAACCUUUUGGAUUUUCUACUCAUCUCUCUUAUCCCUUCUGCUGUUUCCAGGUCCUCUCUCAUGAUGUAAACGCACUCCUGGUGCAAGACCCUUCCAUUGUCUGGAAAGCCACAAGGUCUUCCUCUCACCAUCUGCUAACAUGUUUGUGAAUAUCCAAAUGUAUUUUAUGUAGUUUUAACCAAAGUUUUAUGUAAUUACCUAAAUCUACUCUCCACCAUGACGUACAGUGCUUUGGAAAUGGUUUGGGGUCGAGAUUUAUCGUAGGCCACUGCAGUGUGCUCUUUGUUGAGCCUAAUGGAAGCAGGGUUUACCCAAGAGGAGGGAUCCAUCUCAGUGUCCUCCAUCUCAGCUAUAGCAAUACUUUAAACUUAUUUGCCUGUAGACAAACCAACAUGUUCACUUCUAAUAACCUGUACAAAAAAAAAUACAUUUUUCAAACAAAGUCUCAGCAGGAUACCUUUCUUCAGCAUUUCUGGCUGGAAGAGGCUAAGUGAGGUAACGGAGCUCUGAAUCCUACAUCUUGUUCUGGAAGUGCCCAUAAUGAUGGUUGGGUUCUGAACAUGUAGAAAUGUUUUUAAUUACUAAGGGGAAAAAAAUGAAGUCAAAGCAGAGACAGCUGCCAGAGCUUCCACAGGACUGACUACAUUCACAAAUCUUGUAAUCUUUUUAUGUUCAUUAUGAGAAUGCUACAAAAAAAAAAAAGGGCAAUCACAUCCUGGCCAACAAAUUAAAUGCUUAUUCAGAGAUUAAUUCACAUCAUCUGUACUCCAUUAGAUGUUCUCUUUUGCCAGGGCAUAUAAUGCAAUAUUUGCAAGGGGAAUAGUUGCUGCUAUUGCCAAGAGCUUGCGAUUUACUGGCUCUUGCAGCAUUGACAUGGGAGUCACAGUGCUAUGGGCACAGCUAAAGCAGAUAACAUAGCAACAUACAGUAUGAGACAUAAUCUGCUUCAUUCUGGUGUUAAAAGGUAACGAUUAUGACUCUGCAAUGCAGCCAAGUGACAAGGGGGGAAACAAAUCCAUAAACCAAUAAAAGUAUAUCCUUGUAUCAUGAAGGGAACAAUUUGUUGCUGCUGGGUUUGGGUCUUUUUCCUCAGUCUACAAUACAUUGAGAUUUCAUUUCAAGAUCAGAAGAUAAAGCUGAGGGAAGUAUAACUUUUAACUCUGGUGUGUCUAACCUAAAACAACAGGGCAACCUUUCCAAGAAUAAAUGCAUAACAUGGCUAAAGGCAAAUCCCCAGAAUCAUUUUUUUAAAAAAACCUUCCCUAAUCAAUUUGUGAUUCUUCUUGGAAUACUCACUGCCAGAAAGCAUUUCUACUAUCCUGCCUAUUCUUACAUUUCCUAAAUAUUAAGAUAUUACCUUUUGUUUUUUGAGCAGAACCUCAAAAUGGAAGAUCACUUUGGGAUAAUAUGCUAGGUACCGAAUAAGCUAGAAGACAUUAUUUAUAGUAAGUACCCAAAUAUACCAUCAAAUAUGAUGGACUAAAUCCUCAUGCUUCCCUGAUGAGAUGAGUGCAUAUACAAGAGUGAGAUUCAUGAAAACCACCAUGCAAGGUUCAGAAUUCCUUACAUUAGCUCAUAGGAAACGAUAAUUACUUAGUUUUUGCCCCUUUGGAGCUGUUAAUGCUGAAUUUAAAUAGCUACAAGGAAAAUUACACAACACAUAGGUAUUUGCAUCUUUUACUGGAUUUAGCUCCCAAUCCCAUUUCUGUGCCAAACACUACAGGAGACAACAUCGCAAUAAAUACCACAAAAUAGUGGUUAAUUAUCCAAAGCCCAUCUUCUUUUUAUUUUUUUUUCCACCCAAAGAGCUCAGAGAGGUAAGUCUAAACACUGACAGCAUCAAACUGACAAAAAAA